AUAUAAAGUUGGUAUUCGUUCGAUAAUUUGAUGAUAUCUAUGUUGUCACUUCUCUUAGUGGUGUCAUGUGAACGUCGACUAUAUGACACUUCACCAUCUUAUGGGCCUAAGGCAAUUCAUUGUGGAGUAACAAGUAGAUGAUGAGUUGCUAGAGUGACAAAAGCUGAAACCCCGCUUUAUGUGUUGCUUCAUGAGGCGUUGAUUCAGAUCCACACGUGUAAUGUUAUGGUUAGAUUUAUCUUAAUCUUCUUUCAUAGUUGGGGAUGCUUGCGAUAGAGGGUAAUCAUAAGUUGGUUGUUUGUUCAAGUAAGAACAACACCUUAGUACUGGUUCAUCCACAUAUCAAAUUAUCAAAGUAGGGAACACGAAUCAACUGGGUAUGAUGAAUAUGACUAGACUGAAAUUCACAUGUGUCUUCGAGAUUGGUUGGUUUAUAUAAGAGUACUUUUAGGCAUGUCCUUUGCUACAAAAAGGAUUGGUCUACCUUGCUGCACCUUUGCUACAAUUGUUACUUGUCACUUGUUAUGAAUUAUCUUGCUACGAAACUAUCUAUAACUCUUACUUACAACAAUUCUAGAGAAUACCUUGUUGAAAACCGCUUAUCAUGUCCUUCUGCUCCUUGUUGGGUUGGACACUCUUACUUAUUGUAAGGACUACGAUUAAUCCCCUACACUUGUGGGUUAUCAAAACACUUUUCUAGUGUCGUUUCCAGGGAAUGAGUCGCCUUUGGUAAGUGGAAUUUUGCAAGGAAACAUUUUCAGUACGCGCUGAAAUUUACUGUUGCUUGUCACUAUGAACGGUCACCCUUUGAG
rnacentral:lncRNA from 1 species